rnacentral:rRNA from 1 species
AUUGAACGCUGUCGGCAGGCCUAACACAUGCAAGUCGAACGAGUGGCGGACGGGUGAGUAAUGUCUGUGAAACUGCCCGAUGGAGGGGGAUAACUACUGGAAACGGUAGCUAAUACCGCAUACCAUCGGAUGUUCCCAGAUGGGAUUAGCUAGUAGGUGGGGUAACGGCUCACCUAGGCGACGAUCCCUAGCUGGUCUGAGAGGAUGACCAGCCACACUGGAACUGAGACACUGUCCAGACUCCUACGGGAGGGAGAAGUGGGGAAGAUGGCACAAUGGGCGAAAGCCUGAUGCAGCCAUGCGGGGUGUAUGAAGAAGGCCUUCGGGUUGUAAAGUACUUUCAGCGAGGAGGCGUUACUCGCAGAAGAAGCACCGGCUAACGCCGUGCCAGCAGCCGCGGUAAUUC